rnacentral:lncRNA from 1 species
UUUCUCCCCCUUUCUCUCUCUCUCAUUCUCUCUCUCUUAUCUUUCUUUCCCUCUUCCCAAGCCAUAGAGGGUUUCCACUAAGGGAAAGGGUAGCGAGGAGGAGGAGAUGGGGUCAAUGAUGGUGGUGGCACGGUGGUGGCAAUGAUGGGUUGCAAGCUGGCGGGAUGGAUCUCGGUGGGGGUUGAUGAAAAAUAGGAAGGAAU